rnacentral:rRNA from 1 species
AUUGAACGCUGGCGGCGUGCCUUACACAUGCAAGUCGAACGGCAGCACGGGUGCUUGCACCUGGUGGCGAGUGGCGAACGGGUGAGUAAUACAUCGGAACGUACCUUAUCGUGGGGGAUAACGCAGCGAAAGUUGCGCUAAUACCGCAUACGCCCUGAGGGGGAAAGCGGGGGACCGUAAGGCCUCGCGCGAUUAGAGCGGCCAAUGUCUGAUUAGCUUGUUGGUGAGGUAAAAGCUCACCAAGGCGAUGAUCAGUAGCUGGUCUGAGAGGACGAUCAGCCACACUGGGACUGAGACACGGCCCAGACUCCUACGGGAGGCAGCAGUGGGGAAUUUUGGACAAUGGGGGCAACCCUGAUCCAGCAAUGCCGCGUGAGUGAAGAAGGCCUUCGGGUUGUAAAGCUCUUUUGUCAGGGAAGAAACAGCAGCUCUAACACAGUCUGCGAAUGACGGUACCUGAAGAAUAAGCACCGGCUAACUACGUGCCAGCCGCCGCAGUAA